UAACUUUUCCUGAAAGUUCUCUUUGGCAAGCCGUUUCGAACUUCCAAAAAGAACACAAAACGAACUUCGUUUUGGCCUGAUUUUGUUCAAAAUGACGUUACAUCAUUUCGUUCUUUGAUUUCGUUUGAAGUAUAUCGGGGCCUUAACGUUUGUUUCUGUCAGUCACGGCACCGGUGUGGAUACUGUACUUCAGAAUCACAGAUUGUAGUCUUGGAAGUAUGACCAAAAUAAGAAUUUUCACUGGAAAAUGUCAUCUGAACAAGCCCCAUCCGUAGCUCACGUCCUGAGGUUUGCAGACUUUGCGUUUCCUGCCUGAAGCUGAAGGCAGGGGCGUAGCCGACCCCCUGGAAGUAUGGACAGGGACCAUCCUGGUGGUGGUGGGGAGGAUGGAGGUGGAGGUUGGCGUCAGCAUCUGCGAACUCAGACAUGUGCUGUUCCAUUUUGCUCCAUCCAGCUGUUUUUGAAUGCAAAACCAGCUGUGUGAACAGCCCAUAAGAAACACUCCUGACCUCAAAUCACACUAAAUAUUACAGUGCAUUCUUAAGGGGAACUAGAUGAUUAAUCAAAUCAUUAGGACAUUCCAACUAUGUUCAGCAGCUACAAAGAAGAACAUGCUAUUGACUCCAGUUCAAAGCAAGGCUGAGGGGUGAGCCAAUACAGGGAUCCUUGAUACUUACUGGCGAACAGCUGUUGGGCAGCAGGCAAGUUUCCCCCCCCCGUGAGCAUCUGCCAUUGCAAACUGAUUACCCAGGGGUAGAGCAGCCUGUGCCACCCGCUCCAGACUAAUCACAUCUGUUGCUUUGAUUAAGAGGCGAACAAGCUCUCAGCCUGGUCCUGGACCACCGAGGGGCUCAAGACUCAUGUGGUUAUGAGAGAGUGCAGAAGAAAGGAUGGACGGAAGAUGAGAGGCAAAGACAUGUCUGUGAGUGUCAGAUGGACAAGACUGGAAGGAGAAAGGUGUAGAAACGGAAAGGAUGAGGAACACAUCACUAAUAAGUGUCCUAACAAAUCACACCAUAAUAAAGUGACAAGCUAUAAAUACUUGCACUUCGGUGUUUAGCCGAAUUUAACCUGCAAUAAACAAGUGACAAGAAAACUUUCUUUCUAAAACUUUUUUCUAUUUUAAUAUAUUUUAAAAUAUAAUUUAUUCCUGUGAUGUCAAAGCUGUAUUUUCAGCAUCAUUAGUUUUCAUUGUUGUCACAUGAUCCUUCAGAAAUCAUUCUAAUAUACUGAUUUUAACACAUCCCUGCUGAAGAAAAGUAUGGAUUUCCUAAAAGAAAUUACUAUCUCCAUACUUGUAAACAGUAGAUUGAAAGGUAUAUAUUACAUUUUAAUAUUAUAAUAGAAAAGUACGAAUAAAUCACAACAAUGACAGUAAAAAUCUGCCAAUUCUGCAUUACCUUAUAUUCCUUAUACUGUAUAUUAUUUCAAACAUUGUUUGCACAUCUAUUUUUUUUUUUGUCAAUAAACCUUAAUAUUUUAUACAUUUUGUCUGUUUAAGUUUUUAAAUUUUACAUAUAAAUUUUAUAUUCUUCAACUGCCAUUCCAUAAUAGGAACAAAAUAGACUAAUAUUGACUAAAAUGUUAAUCCUGACUACAAAAAAAAAAGUAAAAAUGUUAAAGAGGACAAUAUUAUGCUUUUUAAUGUUGCUGUUUGAGCAUGAAAAAGGUGUGCAAAGUUAUAAAGAACAAAGUCACUCUAAAAUUCCCUGAAACACCUCAAUAUAGUCUUGAGUUUUCGAGUUUUCUUCCAUCACAGUAUUACUCAGUAUUUAAAUAAUUCCCAACAAAGGCAUAUGUACAAAAAAAUGGUAGAGGUUUAUAGACCAAUAGUAUAGCAUAGUGGUGGUAGGAAAAUGUGCAAAAUCCACAGAUUUUGGUCAUCUGAGACAAAUUUUGAGAAUCCUAAAAGAUUCCUACAAUCCUAGGCUAAAAUAUGUAGUCUUUGAUCGCUAGUUUGACAUGUUCACAGACAGCCGAUUAAUGACCGUUGCGAUAAAAUUUUACCUUUACCUUUUACAUUCUGGCAGUGUCAGAAGAUUUGGCACACAGUCCUGCAGUGUGACUUCUCCUAUGACGAACGUCAAAUUGACUUCAUUUUUCAAGACAAGUCGUGAUCAAAAUUAACGCUAGAGAUUUCUUUGUUAGCCACCAUUUCAGUCCCGCGUGUAAUGCAGCUCACUGUCAUCGAACGUGUGUGGGUUGAUGAUGUAAAAGUUUUCAAAGUAACUUCCCGUUUUUAACUCGUCUUGACUGUCAUACAGUCUGACAUAUAGGACAGCUGAGAUCCCAGGGUGUGACAUGAGGAUCAUGUUCUUACAGUCUGACAAGCAACAAUCGUAAAGGACUAUUAUAAAUCGCACAGUGUGCACCCAGCUUAAGAGAAAAACGUUUUGUUGUGCCUUUGGAUGUCAGAAUCAGAAUGCAAAAAAUAUAGGCUUCAUUUUUAUAGAAUACCACCGUUUAAGACGUUUAUGUUUCAAGCCACAGACUAGACUGAUGAAACCUGCAAUGAUUAGUCUAAUACAAAUUAUUCACAUAUGCAGUUCAAAGGGGACAUUCAUAGCAGUUACAGCAUGAAAUAAAAUUUAAAGCUAUAACAUUUUGCAUAGAUAACUUUUAGACAGCCUAUAACAUUUUUAUUUCACAAUUCUGACUUUUUUUUCUUGCAUUUGCGUAUUAAAGGUGCCCAAGAACCAGUUUUUACAAGAUGUAAUAUAAGUCUAAGGUGUCCCCUGAA